rnacentral:rRNA from 1 species
ACGAACGCUGGCGGCGUGCCUCAUCCAUGCAAGUUGCGCGAUGAAGAUUGGUGCUUGCACCAAUUUGAAGAGCAGCGAACGGGUGAGUAACGCGUGGGGAAUCUGCCUUUGAGCGGGGGACAACAUUUGGAAACGAAUGCUAAUACCGCAUAACAACUUUAAACAUAAGUUUUAAGUUUGAAAGAUGCAAUUGCAUCACUCAAAGAUGAUCCCGCGUUGUAUUAGCUAGUUGGUGAGGUAAAGGCUCACCAAGGCGAUGAUACAUAGCCGACCUGAGAGGGUGAUCGGCCACAUUGGGACUGAGACACGGCCCAAACUCCUACGGGAGGCAGCAGUAGGGAAUCUUCGGCAAUGGACGAAAGUCUGACCGAGCAACGCCGCGUGAGUGAAGAAGGUUUUCGGAUCGUAAAACUCUGUUGGUAGAGAAGAACGUUGGUGAGAGUGGAAAGCUCAUCAAGUGACGGUAACUACCCAGAAAGGGACGGCUAACUACGUG